GAGAAUGAUUUUACAAAGAGCAAAUGAAAGAGUAACCUAUUAGAAGAAACUCAAUAUAUCGUCCUGAAUGUAUGUCGACUCGCCGAUCAUAUGCAAUGAAGCAGAUAAUGAUGAAGGGUAAGAAUUUUUGUAUUUGAAUGGAUUUAUUGAACAUACAAAGAUGGAAUGCCAGACCACAACAGAGAUUUCAAGAUAUAUGAAGGGUACGGAGGAUGAGGAGAAGGCUUGAUUGGUUUUGACCAUAUAUCCUUCAGAGAAAAAAUAUCUGGUGAACGUCUGCUAGUUUUGCUAUUGAUAGGAGGGAUUCUGAUGAAAUGAGAGCUGUCACUUCUAUUUGAAGGAGAAUUGUGGUUGGAGUGAAGUGUUUUUGCAAGGAGAGCUGCGAGUGGAGAAAGUGCAGCUGCAAACAAAAUCAGAAAUGAACGAAAGGAGCCACCAGGGCUGUAUUGUAAAGAGUUGUUAGUGGUCAAAAGAAGCUGAGGAGUUGUGAGUUAUGAAGCAGUAGAGAGAAGCAUCAAAAGGUGUAGACAGAGAUACGGCCACAUCCGUUGCAGGGGAUUCUUUGGGGAUUGUAGAACGAUUUGAUGGCAAUGGAAGCUGAAUAUGCGGAUGCUUUUGCUCAAAAUGGUUGAAGUAGACCGGAUAGUGCACAUGUUGUAAGCAUUGCAAGCCAGUUUUCCAGAAAUCUUGGACCACAAACGUUGGCCAGCAGUCAAAUAUUUUGAGAUAUCUUCAAGCAACAACUAAGCACAAAAUUACAUUCAGUGGGAGCUAAGAAGAAUAUCUGAAGUGUAUGGGUUAUUGUGAUGCAAAUUGGAUAAGAGAGACUGAUAGCAGGACAUCAGUGCCAAGAUAUUGUUUUAACUUUUAUCUAUAGUGGAGGUGCAGUUUCGUGGGCAAGUAAAAAACAACUGAUAGUUUCUCUUUCAAGAGCAGAAGCAGAGUACAUAUCAGCCUGUCAAGCAACAAAGGAAUCAAUAUGGUUGAGAACGUAAUUGCAGCACACUGGGAUUGCUCAAACCCAACCAACGGUGUUGAUGGGCGACAGUCAAAGUUGCAUUGCUGUGACAAAGCAAUCAAAGCAUCAUGGGGAAAUUACACGUGUUGAAAUACAAUAUCAUUUCAUUCGUAACAAAUUAAGAAUUUGUACAAGUGGAGUACUGUGCAACUGAAAUAAUAGUGGGAGAUGCAUUGACAAAGGCACCAUCAAGAAACAAAUGUGAGUAUUGUAAGGAUGGAUUAAAUGUACUACAUCCUGACAGAGAAAUAUUUGGCUAAGUGGGAACGUUGUGCUUAUUUAGCGAUUAGUGUUACAUUUAGGACUUUCUGAUUAAUUAAUGAUUAGCUGUAGGGUAGUGAGUAAAUCUAGGGCAGUUGGAUCAAGUCUUUUAUGACUCUCCUACUCUGUUUUCUACAUGAGCAUGUAACCAUGUUCAGUUUACAAAAUAAAAUAAAAGAGUACAGUUCUGUUUUUGGUUUUACACUGAUAUUCAGUUUUACUUUCACAUAGAAUACUGUCGACUGGGAUAC